GACGUAGGAGGCGAGCGUUGUCCGGAUUUAUUGGGCGUAAAGAGCUCGUAGGCGGUUCGGUAAGUCAGGGGUGAAAUCUCCACGCUCAACGUGGAGGCGCCACCUGAAACUGCCGUGACUCGAGUCCGGUAGGGGAGUGUGGAAUUCCUGGUGUAGCGGUGAAAUGCGCAGAUAUCAGGAGGAACACCGGUGGCGAAGGCGGGUCUCUGGGCAGUAACUGACGCUGAGGAGCGAAAGCGUGGGGAGCGAACAGG
rnacentral:rRNA from 1 species